GUGGAAUUAGCUCAGCUGGUUAGAGCACCGGAUUGUGAUUCCGGGGGUCGUGGGUUCAAAUCCCAUAUUCCACCCCA
rnacentral:tRNA from 1 species